UACAGAGGGUGCGAGCGUUGUCCGGAAUCACUGGGCGUAAAGGGCGCGUAGGUGGCAACCCAAGUCUGUGGUGAAAGCUCGAUGCUUAACAUCGAGUCGGCCGCGGAAACUGGGUGGCUCGAGCACUGUAGGGGCAGAUGGAAUUCCGGGUGUAGCGGUGGAAUGCGUAGAGAGUCCGGAAGAACACCGGUGGCGAAGGCG
rnacentral:rRNA from 1 species